GGAUACGCAUGCGCAGUGCGGUGUGGACACCACACGGCCUAGGGAGGGACCUUCAUGGUCUCUCCCAACGCCGUGUGGUGUCCACACCCGCACUGCGCAUGCGUAUCC
rnacentral:pre_miRNA from 1 species